AACUUCAUCAAAAUCUGAUGUAAAAUAAGAAAGUUAUGAAAUUUUGCAUAUUUUUCUCAAACAGUUAUAUGCACAAUACAGUAAUAUGUAAAUGCGAGAGCCUAUGAUAUCCAUCACUCACCAUUUCUUUUUUUUAUUGUUUGAAUUAUACAAUAUUUCAAAUUAUACAGAAUUGACAGUAAUGUAUAACUUGACUGAAAUUAAACAAUAUUAAUUCCACAAGUUCAGGAAUAAAGCUCGAUAUUAAAUGACAUGGGUGAGAAAAUCAGAAUAAUUCAUAUUUCAGAUAAUAAAAUACAAAAGAAACAGUGUGUGAUGUCAUCAGUACCCUCAUUUGCAUACUGGCCAGGAUGUGCAUAUAACUGUUGUGUUAAACUAAACAAAACUUUAAAAUGUCGUGACUAUCUUAUUUUAAAUCCGAUUUUGAUAAAAUUUUCAAUGUUAUGAUUGUUGGAUUUUUCUCUUUUUAUUCAAAUCAACUUUUUGUCGGGGUGGACUUGUCCUUUAAUAUUCACAGGGAAAAACAAAUUUUUAAUCAUUCAUUUUCUUCUUGGUCUAGAGAAAUGAAUAUUGGUUUCAUCUAUGCUUUUAAAAUGCUUUUCUGCCACUUUUUGUGUAGAUUGUCAGUUUAUGGUUGUUGUAUUCAGACCUAGGAUACUAUUACAGUUACCCUUGAACAAAGUUGAUGAGAGUUGAAGACUGUCACAUUGACAUAAAAGUUCUAGAAGUUUGUAGUUCAGGGGACAAGGGCCAUGUUGUAAUGAUAAAAUCAACCAUAUAUUGCAACUUUGUCAACAAUGGUGACUUCCACAAAAGCAUUUGGUUUGUUGUUGAGCAUGGUGGUUACAGUGUAGCAUUGAUGAUAGAAAGAUUUAUGCUAAAAAGGGUUGACAUCAUAUUGACUGCCAUGUGAGUUAAUGGCAAAAAUGUCCUGUGGAACAUUAACAGGAUUCUGUGUGUAUCAGUUGAAAUGGAGUUCAAAAGUUUUCAGCUCAUCUCCGCAGGUUGGUUUAUUUGUAAUUUAUGUUUUUAGUCAUGUUUACUGGGUCCAGGAAGUGGGAGAGAAAUUCUUAUAUUUCCUAUUAUUCCUCACUCUCUACCAGUGAACCCUCUACCAUGUACAUGUACAUCUUGAAAUUAUCAAAAGGAAAUGGUGAUAUUGUGUGUAAGAUCUCUAUUUUAUACACAAUAUCACCAUGUCCUUUUGAUAAUUUCAAGAUGUACAUGUAGAGAUUUUGACAGAUGCAGUAUAGUAACUGUCCAUUGAGUGGAUUCAUAAUACCAUCUAUCGGUUGCAGCGGACAGGCCAAAAUUUGCAAUGCCUCAUGGGAAAAACGUACGUUUAUUGGACGCGUUAGCGCUUUAAAAAUGCAUGCAAUUAUUCUGUGCUUGCUGACGCGGUUCGACUGUUUACUGGGUCCAGGAAGUGGGAGAGAAAUUCGCCUGGAUAUUUCUUUGAAAAAUUUAUACCAUUUCUGUCUCACCCACCAGAGAUGAAGGCGAGACUGCGGGAUCCGAAUAUUGUCCAUCGUCCGUCUGUCCAUCACAAACAUUAUGACACAGCCCCAUGUCACUUUUUAACCAAAUUUGGGUGGUAGAUGGACUUGUUAUGCUGCAGAAGGAGGUCACAUGGUCAUUUUCAGGUCAAUGUUAAAAAAGUAUACUUGCAAGACUCUUCUGACACCUAACUCCGCAACCGUAAAUCAUUUUCAACCAAACUUGGAUGGUAGAUGUAUCUAGGAGACCUGCAUGUCAUGUUGCAGUAGCAGGUCACAUAGUAAGGUUAAAGGUCAUUUUCAGGUCAACAAAGUUUACAUGCAAGACUUAUGACACAUAAGUCAUGCUGCAGUCGCAGGUCACAUGGUAAGGUCAUAACUCUACAACCGUAUGUCACUUUUCGACCAAACUUGGGAGAUCUGCAUGUUAUUUUGGAGUAUACUAUGGAUUUGGCCUCAUCGCGCCGCGUCCGCUGCUGCAGAGAGAUUUCCUUGUGAGCGCUCUAUCAGCUGCAUUUUUUCCUCCUAUCUUCAAAUGGAAUAAGCCCAGCAAGUUUUUUUUUUUAUAUAAACAGAAUGAAAUUAAAAUAAACCCCCAAAAUUACAAUGUACAGCAACUACAAGUAGUUGAUCUAAAGAAAGUGGUACAAAAUAUAAUCUAGUGUGCUUUGUAUUUCAUUAGUCCCAUAUUUCAGUUUCUUCACAUUUUUUUUACACACCAUUUCUAUUUUCACUACAUGAUGUUAAUUUUUUUGCAGUAAUUCAAAUCCUUUGAAUAACAACAAAUUUACAUUUUUAUAAAAAAAAAUGCACAAGUUGAAGCAAGAUUUUUCUUUUUGUUAGUUAGUACUGCUAGAUGAGACUCAUCAAUAAUAUUGAUUGUAUAUAAUAUUGCUCCUUAUAUGAGUACUACACCUGUGUGAACUGAUCCACAGAUGAAUUUGUGAUCAUUUUGGUAGGAAAAAAAAAACCCAGGAAAAUUAAAAUUUUGAAAACUAUAUGGAGAAUUAAACUUAUGGAACAAGUCAGCUUGUGUAAAAUAAGGUUUGUGAAAGUUUGAGUAUAAGCAUAGUGCCAUGAAGAUCCUCCAUUCUCAGUGUGAACAAUAUCUGAGAUAUCACACAGUAAAACCCUUGGACACUGAAUAUAUACACCAAAACAUUUUUUUUUGUGUGCUCAUUGUAAUGUGAAUUUGAAAACUGUUUUACAUGUCCUCAUAAAAAAUAAAAUAUCAUCUUGCUGUAGACCAGAUAAAAGAGGAAAAUUGAAGUCCUAACCUUGAAAGUAAUGGGAAAGGUUUACAUGUGUGACAUAACAGAUAUUGGAGAAUCCACCUACAGUGUAGCAUUUAGUGAUCACAAUAACUUUGUACAUUCAUACAAUCUUCAAUUAAACUGUUCUUUGAUUUUCUAUAUCUUAUGAAUUAAACUGGGUUUGAUUCUCCUUAUAAUGAUUGGUUAUGACUUUAAUCUUGUUUAUCACAGUUAAUGCUUAUUGUACACCAUUCAUUGUGUGUUAUUCUGUUUAACACAAGUCAUUAAAUGAAGAAAAGGAA